rnacentral:lncRNA from 1 species
UUUCUUACAAGUGAUUCUUACAAGAAAAUCUGCUACCUAUCAUCUACUCGAUUUCAUCAUCUUCUCUUCUCAUCCUUCACCAUAUCCAUCGAAUUCAUCCCUCCACCAUCACUCGCCAUCGAUCCGCCAAGCCACCAUCAUCAAACCAUCAUCACGAUCAUAAGCCAUCAUCACUUCAUUAAUCCGAUCACCAUAUCACCGUCUUCGACUCGAUCCUCAAGCCAUCAUCACCAUCGCAUCGGCCAUCACCACCCCAUCACUUCAUCGUUGUGAUCUGUCCAUAAAAUCGCAG